rnacentral:rRNA from 1 species
UACGGGGGGGGUAAGCGUUGUUCGGAAUUACUGGGCGUAAAGGGCUCGUAGGCGGCCAACUAAGUCGGACGUGAAAUCCCUCAGCUUAACUGGGGAACUGCGUCCGAUACUGGAUGGCUUGGAUUUGGGAGAGGGAUGCGGAAUUCCAGGUGUAGCGGUGAAAUGCGUAGAUAUCGAGAGGAACACCUGCGGCGAAGGCGGGUUGCUGGGCUGACACUGACGCUGAGGCGCGAAAGCCAGGGGAGCGAACGGG